GAUGAAGAACGUAGCGAAAUGCGAUAAGUAAUGUGAAUUGCAGAAUUCAGUGAAUCAUCGAGUUUUUGAACGCAUAUUGCGCCCUCUGGUAUUCCGGGGGGCAUGCCUGUUCGAGCGUCAUUAAAUAACCCUCAAGCAUAGCUUGGUGUUGGGCUUUUUUACGUCCUUGACUGGGAUGGGCCUAAAAAUUAGUGGCGAUGGCUUUUUUACUUUCAAGCGUAGUAAAUCUCGUCUUGCUAAAGAGGAAAAAGAUUUUUUUUCUGCCAACAAUUUUAACAUUUAAAGUUGACCUCGGAUCAGGUAGGAUUACCCGCUGAACUUAAGCAUAUCAAUAAGCGGAGGA
rnacentral:misc_RNA from 1 species